GACGAACGCUGGCGGCGUGCCUAAUACAUGCAAGUCGAACGGAGCGGCGGACGGGUGAGUAAUGCCUAGGAAUCUGCCUGGUAGUGGGGGAUAACGUCCGGAAACGGGCGCUAAUACCGCAUACCAUCAGAUGUGCCCAGAUGGGAUUAGCUAGUAGGUGGGGUAACGGCUCACCUAGGCGACGAUCCCUAGCUGGUCUGAGAGGAUGACCAGCCACACUGGAACUGAGAUACGGUCCAGACUCCUACGGGAGGCAGCAGUGGGGAAUUUUGGACAAUGGGGGAAACCCUGAUCCAGCCAGCCCGCGUGGGCGAUGAAGGCCUUCGGGUUGUAAAGCACUUUUGGCAGGAAAGCGGUACCUGCAGAAUAAGCACCGGCUAACUACGUGCCAGCAGCCGCGGUAAUAC
rnacentral:rRNA from 1 species